AUGGAUUAGCGGCGGACGGGUGAGUAACACGUGAGUAACCUGCCUUUGACACAGGGAUAGCCUCGGGAAACCGGGAUUAAUACCAGAUAACAUUAUCAGAUCGCAUGAGAAGAUAAUCAAAGCUGAGGCGGUCAAAGAUGGACUCGCGUCCCAUUAGCUAGUUGGUAGAGUAAUAGCCUACCAAGGCAACGAUGGGUAGCCGGCCUGAGAGGGUGAACGGCCACAUUGGAACUGAGAAACGGUCCAAACUCCUACGGGAGGCAGCAGUGGGGAAUAUUGCACAAUGGGGGAAACCCUGAUGCAGCGACGCCGCGUGAGCGAAGAAGGUUUUCGAAUCGUAAAGCUCUGUCCUAUGGGAAGAUAACGACGGUACCAUAGGAGGAAGCCCCGGCUAACUACGUGCCAGCAGCCGCGGUAAUACGUAGGGGGCAAGCGUUGUCCGGAAUCACUGGGCGUAAAGGGUUCGCAGGCGGAAAUGCAAGUCAGUUGUGAAAGGCAGAGGCUCAACCUCUGUAAGCAAUUGAAACUGUAUUUCUUGAGAUGUGGAGAGGCAAGUGGAAUUCCUAGUGUAGCGGUGAAAUGCGUAGAUAUUAGGAAGA
rnacentral:rRNA from 1 species